CCUACGGGAGGCAGCAGUGAGGAAUAUUGGUCAAUGGUCGGGAGACUGAACCAGCCAAGCCGCGUGAGGGAUGAAGGUACAGAGUAUCGUACACCUCUUUUGUCAGGGAACAAAGGCGGGGACGUGUCCCCGGAUGAGUGUACCUGAAGAAAAAGCAUCGGCUAACUCCGUGCCGGCAACCGCGGUAAUACUGAGGAAGCGAGCGUUAUCCGGAUUUAUUGGGUUAAAGGGGUGCACAGGCGGUCGGUUAAGCCAGCGGUCAAAGCCCGGGGCCCAACCCCGGCCCGCCGUUGAAACUGGCAGUCUCGAGUAGGAGAGAAGUAUGCGGAAUGCGCGGUGUAGCGGUGAAAUGCAUAGAUAUCGCGCAGAACUCCGAUUGCGAAGGCAGCAUGCCGGCUCCACACUGACGCUGAGGCACGAAAGCGUGGGUAUCGAACAGGAUUAGAUACCCGGGUAGUC
rnacentral:rRNA from 1 species